rnacentral:lncRNA from 1 species
GCAGCUUUUAUUUUACAGUUUGGUGUCCACAUACAUUCACAUUGUAUAACCUCUACUGUGAAAGUCACAGGAUUGAAGUUAGUCCCUUAUGAUCUUUUAGAAUUGUGCCAUGUAAUAAAGUGAUUAUUUUUAUUAAUAAGAAAGGGACUUUGUUCAUGAUCAAAACCCAGUAACCCUGUAAGUACUGACUUGACUAUAACUGGAUCAAAAGAUGCAUAUAGGUUUGGUGUGAUUUUCAAGUAGCUAAAACUCAAGAAUCACUGCUAGGAUUCUGUCGUUGCUGACUCUGUUUCACAGAUGUGGACUCAUUUCCCAGCUCUGUUCAGCCACUUUGCACAUACAUGGGUGGCUCAGAAGAAGCGCCCUUGCCCCGAAUCACUGUAACGGGGUUGGAGCAGAAGCCAGAGGUGAAUUAAACAGAGCCGAGAGACCCUACCUGGCUGGAGACUACGGGUGUGAGUCCAGCGCUCUGGGAAAGUGCGCUCCAUUUUCCAUAUAUGCCAGAAGCGAUCAUGGUCAUGCAGAAGACUGGAAGGACGACUGUGGAAUAAACUUUUACGGAGCGUAAAGCGGGGGGAUAACAGUGACAAGAACUGACGCACACCUGUCACGAUUUACGCUGAUAAGGCCACCUAUGAAAACAUUUUCACACCCUCUGUGACUCACUAUUGCUUAAACAGUGGGAUGUCGUUAC